CUGUUAAUUACAGUACGAACCAGAGGGACCUGGACGCGGAGCUCAGGUGUAUUUAUGGCGUCGGCAGGUUGUACGGUUGUAGUGGGAGCUUCCUGGAUGCGUUGUGUUCUGGAGUACAGGGAGGGAUCCCUGUGCAAGUGGCUGAGGUGCCUGAACGUGCGGAGUGGGAGCCCAUACCGUGCGCCGUGUCCGAUUGUAGAGCGGUCAAGAAGCUUGCUAAAAGGGGGAGGCGGGAAGGUGGCUUACAGGAGAUACCCCUCUGUGUUUGAUUCGCUUAGGAGUGGGGGGGAUGAGCGGAGGGGAGGGAAA
rnacentral:lncRNA from 1 species